AAACGGAUACACGCUCGACUUGCGGGCGUAUCUAGAAUUACGAGUGGACCUGGGUUCCUUCCACGCCGGCUUCCAAGCGAAAUUAAAUUUAAAGCAGCGUUCCGAUUUUAAAGUGCAACGAAGUGGCGGAUAAAAUUCGAUGUUUCAUGGAGCGUGAGACGGCGCUCGUGUCGUUGGCCGCGCAUCCGGGGUGUCAGCGGCCGCUUCUGAGGGGUCCGAGGGGGGUUGGAUCGGGUAGAACCCCAUAAAAUCGGCUUACAGCACAGCCAAACCUACGACACAAGCAUUCCACGUUACACGUACAAUGGCUCCAGAGAGUAUUCAGUAGCAGCGUCUUACGAGGGAAUUUCCUAACCUAACCUAAAAAUCCUGAUUUUAAUGUACGUAGAGCGCAAUGUUAUACGCGGAGCGAUGUUUCUUAUCCUUUUAACAUUGUUGGACACACGAUUUUAAAUCCAUUCGGUGAUUAAACUAACUCGUGCAAAUACUAUUUUGAAAAUCUUGGUUUUCGUGAAAUCAAGUGUGGUCUGGGAAGUGGCAACAAGAAAGUUUAAGGAAGUGGCCAAUGUUUUCCACUCGUCCCGCAAGAAUUUCAAUCUCGAUAAUCUACUGCCUCGAUAAUGGAAGAACGCGGCAAUUGGCAACGACUCACCGAGAAUAUUUUUCUCCGGUCGAGGCGAUUCGAUUAACCGUGGCUGUGAAUCUCGUCUGGCUGCACCGGAGAGAAAGAAUAGCUGGAUGUCGUCGACUCGAGGCUGUUGCUCGAUGAAUUUCCGGUUCACCGCUCGUCUCGCAUUUUUCUUUCGUAAUUCGUGGCGUAUAUACAUAUCUCGAAAUGAGAAACGGUGUAUUGGAUUAAAAUGAAAUCUUCUCGUUUCAGGUGUAUUUGUUAUUGUUAGUGUCGAGUGGAUGGUUAUCGUUAAACGGGAUUGUUUAAUUGUCCGGAUAAUAAAUAUAGGAGAAAAAGUAAAAUAUGCAGAAUUACUAGAUUACAGUUUAAAUUCUAUACCGACUUUAUAAUACGAUACAUGAAAAUGAUUGAUUAUACGUAUAAUUAAUGUAAGUAAUAUAAUUAAUGUUGUAUUCGAUCGCCGCAUACGAAAUGGCCAAUUUCACGAAUGUAAAUCCAUUUAGAAUUUAGUAAUUAAAUGAUCUAUUAAAUAAUAUUUAUUACACCUCAAUUUAAAACUUGAAUGCAAACUUGAUAUUGUAAUGAAUUUUUCUCUUAUAAAUUUAACAGUAAAAAAAAAAAAAAGAGAAGAAAAAGAUAAUAUGAUUAAUACGAAAAUCGAUCUGCUCGAUACUUAAUACCUGUAGCUGCCGCUAGGCGGCUCGUGAUUCUCGUUAGCAUUAUUUACGCCAUCAAGUAUAACUAACCUAAGCUCAAUCCUAUGUGUAAUAGCAAGGUAAGAAACAUGCCAUAACUACGUUUGUUAGUCUACUAUGCAGUUGAAAGAAACAACAACUUCUUGAAUUAAAAAAAAUACGAUGGAUUUAAUACAUUGGUAUUAGUUAUUACAUUAUUGACGUAAUUACUUUUAUUCUGUACGAUUAGAUAUAAAAUGAUUUGUCAAAAGAACUUGUAAUUUUCUAAUAGCUACGAAAAUUCGAUAUCGUUUUAAAAAUUGACAAUUACACGGAUUAUACAACGCUCUCUUUAAGGGGUUCGACCCUAUUGAAAUCGACUCGAGGGGACACUUUUCCAACUUUAUCGCGUUUUCUUUAUCAAGAAUGAACCGCAUCAUCUCGAAGCCAAGAAAAAGUGGAAAACAGGAAAGGAGAGAGAAAAAAAACAGGAUCCUUUUGGUAAACGGUGGCGUGCUCCAGAACGCUUUGUGCCACUUUUACCAAAAGAGGCGGCGGGAUAAGGUGGUAUCGGGUAUCCCCCCGACCGCGGCUAAGGGUCGAGAUGGACCCGUGGACGAAGGAAGGAGGAGGCCCGCGGUCUGGUUUGCGGGCCAGGAUGAACCUGCAAAGAAUAUCCGGUCCUCUUGCGGUUGCCAAGGAUCGAUGAAGCCGCUCAUGCUGGAAAAAGUGUCCUGACUAUUUCGAAGAAUAGAUGUUGCAUCGAACUCGUUUUCCAUAAUCAGACGAAAUGGCAAUGAUUUUCUCGAAUGUACGUAGUGAUGGAUCAAAUACUCGGUUUAUGUUUCGAGCAAUUAAAAAUUGUGUGUGUAUAUAUAUAUAUAUAUAUAUAUAUAUAUAAUAAUAUUAAUUAAAAGAAUCAAAGAAAUGCAUAAAGAAGGAUUAAUAACAAUAAUGGAAUCAAACUACUUGGACAAGUGCGUCUUAAAACGAGACACUCCCGAUUGUUUCUUUAAAAAAACACCACGAAGAAUGGGAAAGACCUUGCCGGGAAGUUUAGAAGGGAUGAAAGGGUUCAAGGGUCGAAGCCACUUAGAGGGAUCGCUUGAUCCUUCUUGCCGCUAAAAGUGAAACGACAAACUUCCAGAAACCUUAACGAGGAGGAGGAGGAGGAGGAGGAUUUCGCUUCAAAGUGGUUGCUUCGAUUAAAAUCCCCCUCUUCUUCCCUUCUCCCCUCCUUUUUUCUUCCAAAUUUUUUCAUUUCGAUCAAAAAAAAAGAAAAAAAAUAUCAUCGAAUCAAAGAAACUUGAUUUCGCGAUUCAAACUUUAAUAAACCUGGCCAUGGAAAAUGUG